GGGAGGGCGAGGGGAGGAGAAAGCGGCGCGCGGGGAGCCCGGCCGCGCUCAGCCGCUCCUCACCUGGGCCGCCGCCGCCGCCGCCGCCGCGCCGUUUCCGUGCUGCUGCUGUUGCUGCUGCUGCUGCUGUAGAUACUCGCCGUGGCCGCCGCCGCCUCCGCCGCCGUNNNNNNNNNNNGUAUGCCUGCUGCUCAUGGAGGGAAGAAGUGAGCUUGUAAUCCCUUUGGAGCUAGAGUUACAGAUGGCUAUGAGUUGCCACAGGGAUCCUGGAGAUUUGACCGAGAAGACCACUCACAGGUUGAUCCUCUUGUUCCACGAUGUGAGUUGCAGAUAUCAAACUCAGGUGGCCAGGCCUGGCAGCAAGCUCUUCUGGCCGUUCAGCCAUCUCACUGGCCCUGUGGAAAUCUUUUGAAGAAGAUGGACUCACAUGAGCACAAGUUCAGAAAUGAAUAGUUUGAAAGUAGGUUCUUGGAAAAUAAAUAAAUAAAUAAAUAAAUAAAUAAAGACAAUGGAAUGGAAAGAAGCAAAUCUCCUGCAAGCUUGUUUAAUAUACACUAACAGUGAAUACAUUAUAAGGCCAGAUGAAUAAAAAG
ensembl:antisense Sp3os trans-acting transcription factor 3, opposite strand